rnacentral:ribozyme from 1 species
AUAUAUAGUUGUUCUGUGAAAGGGUUGGAUCCGACGCCUCUAGAAGGCUACUAUAGACUCUCCUUCUCAACUCCUACUCAAUACGUCCACGGCGUGCAGAACGGUAACUUGUCGCUCAGAUCCAAGCUUGGGUACACGGGGAA